rnacentral:rRNA from 1 species
GUAGGUGGCAAGCGUUGUCCGGAAUUAUUGGGCGUAAAGCGCGCGCAGGCGGUUCUUUAAGUCUGAUGUGAAAGCCCACGGCUCAACCGUGGAGGGUCAUUGGAAACUGGAGAACUUGAGUACAGAAGAGGAAAGCGGAAUUCCACGUGUAGCGGCGAAAUGCGUAGAGAUGUGGAGGAACACCAGUGGCGAAGGCGGCUUUCUGGUCUGUAACUGACGCUGAGGCGCGAAAGCGUGGGGAGCAAACAGGAUUAGAUACCCUGGUAGUCCACGCCGUAAACGAUGAGUGCUAAGUGUUAGGGGGUUUCCGCCCCCCUUAGUGCUGCAGCUAACGCAUUAAGCACUCCGCCUGGGAGUACGGCCGCAAGGCUG